rnacentral:rRNA from 1 species
GAUGAACGCUGGCGGCGUGCCUAAUACAUGCAAGUCGAGCGAACAGAUGAGGAGCUUGCUCCUCUGACGUUAGCGGCGGACGGGUGAGUAACACGUGGAUAACCUACCUAUAAGACUGGGAUAACUUCGGGAAACCGGAGCUAAUACCGGAUAAUAUAUUGAACCGCAUGGUUCAAUAGUGAAAGACGGUUUUGCUGUCACUUAUAGAUGGAUCCGCGCCGCAUUAGCUAGUUGGUAAGGUAACGGCUUACCAAGGCAACGAUGCGUAGCCGACCUGAGAGGGUGAUCGGCCACACUGGAACUGAGACACGGUCCAGACUCCUACGGGAGGCAGCAGUAGGGAAUCUUCCGCAAUGGGCGAAAGCCUGACGGAGCAACGCCGCGUGAGUGAUGAAGGUCUUCGGAUCGUAAAACUCUGUUAUUAGGGAAGAACAAAUGUAUAAGUAACUAUGCACGUCCUGACGGUACCUAAUCAGAAAGCCACGGCUAACUACGUG